GCCUGCGCAAUGGGGAGAAGGGCGCUCUGGCCGGCAUGACCCUUUUGUUGCGAUGAACAAGAUUUUUACAAAGGGGUUGCAAUUUCGCGCCGAUUGAGGUACAAUAGGCAUGUAGAAUGUGAUGACGGAUGGAACUCAUGCAAUGCGAGGGUGUGAACCUUGUCAGGGCCGGAAGGCAGCAGCAAUAAGCAUUGUAUCGUGUGUGCCGUGGGAAUUUUCUGCCCCGAGCAUUCUACGAUUGAGCGCAUUCGGCGCCGGGU
rnacentral:SRP_RNA from 1 species